rnacentral:rRNA from 1 species
CCUANGUGGGGCUGCAGUCGAGAAUAUUCCACAAUGGACGAAAGUCUGAUGGAGCGACGCCGCGUGCGGGAUGAAGGCCCUUGGGUUGUAAACCGCUUUUGUAAGUGAAAAAUUUCGAUGAUGGUAGCUUACGAAUAAGAGGUUACUAACUCUGUGCCAGCAGUAGCGGUAAUACAGAGACCUCAAGCGUUAUCCGGAUUUAUUGGGCGUAAAGAGCUGGUAGGUUGUUAUAUUAGUCAGAUGUCAAAUCUCGGAGCUUAACUCUGAAACUGCAUUUGAAACGGUAUAACUAGAGGGUGUGAGAGAUCUAUGGAACUCAUGGUGUAGCAGUGAAAUGCGUUGAUAUCAUGAGGAACACCAAAGGCGAAGGCAUUAGAUUGGCACACUCCUGACACUGAGCAGCGAAAGCGUGGGUAGCGAAUGGGAUUAGAUACCCUGNUANUC